AAGAAGCUCUGACGGUACCUAAGGAAUCAGCCUCGGCUAACUCCGUGCCAGCAGCCGCGGUAAUACGGAGGAGGCAAGCGUUAUCCGGAAUUAUUGGGCGUAAAGCGUCCGCAGGCGGCUUACCAAGUCUGCUGUCAAAUACCAGAGCUCAACUCUGGGUCGGCGGUGGAAACUGGCAAGCUAGAGUACAGUAGGGGUAGAGGGAAUUCCCAGUGUAGCGGUGAAAUGCGUAGAGAUUGGGAAGAACACCGGUGGCGAAAGCGCUCUACUGGGCUGUAACUGACGCUGAGGGACGAAAGCUAGGGUAGCGAAAGGGAUUAGAUACCCCUGUAGUCUUAGCUGUAAACGAUGGAGACUAGGCGUGGCUUGUAUCGACCCGAGCCGUGCCGAAGCCAACGCGUUAAGUCUCCCGCCUGGGGAGUACGCACGCAAGUGUGAAACUCAAAGGAAUUGACGGGGGCCCGCACAAGCGGUGGAGUAUGUGGUUUAAUUCGAUGCAACGCGAAGAACCUUACCAAGGCUUGACAUCCCGCGAAUCCUGGUGAAAGCCGGGAGUGCCUUCGGGAGCGCGGAGACAGGUGGUGCAUGGCUGUCGUCAGCUCGUGUCGUGAGAUGUUGGGUUAAGUCCCGCAACGAGCGCAACCCUUGUCCUUAGUUGCCAGCAUUCAGUUGGGCACUCUAGGGAGACUGCCGGUGACAAACCGGAGGAAGGUGGGGAUGACGUCAAGUCAUCAUGCCCCUUACGUCUUGGGCUACACACGUACUACAAUGGUUGGGACAACGGGCAGCGAAGCGGCAACGCCGAGCGAAUCCCAGCAAACCCAGCCUCAGUUCAGGUCGCAGGCUGCAACUCGCCUGCGUGAAGGAGGAAUCGCUGGUAAUCGCAGGUCAGCAUACUGCGGUGAAUUCGUUCCCGGGCCUUGUACACACCGCCCGUCACAC
rnacentral:rRNA from 1 species